UACGUAGGGGGCAAGCGUUGUCCGGAUUUAUUGGGCGUAAAGCGCUCGCAGGUGGUUCGUCGCGUCGUGCGUGAAAGACCCCGGCUCAACUGGGGAGUGCCGUGCGAUACGGGCGGACUGGAGGCCAGUAGGGGGAUGCGGAAUUCCGGGUGUAGUGGUGGAAUGCGUAGAGAUCCGGAGGAACACCAGCGGCGAAGGCGGCAUCCUGGACUGGUCCUGACACUCAUGAGCGAAAGCGUGGGGAGCGAUCCGG
rnacentral:rRNA from 1 species